GGGUGCGAUCAUACCAAUGUUAAUGCACAGGAUCCCAUCAGAACUCCGCAAUUAAGCGUGCUUGGGCUAGAGUAGUAUUGGGAUGGGUGACCUUCUGGGAAGUCCUAGUGUUGCACCCU
rfam:Picea glauca, whole genome shotgun sequence.